CGAACCAGCAGAUACUGUCUGUACUGUCUGCUCUGAUUAUCCACUGAACAUAAUGAGGGCUUUCUACAUUGUGCUCCCUCUGCUGAUAUCUGUGUCAUGUAAGGUGUUUAGUUAUACUGCACAUAUUUGAGAAAAACAAUAUUUAGUUAUUAAGGCUUCCAAUGUUUAUUAAACAUGUUUAUGUUUCAGAUGUCCUCUCGCAAGCAGUUACCCUGGAUCAACCUGGAUCAGUAACUGUGAAACCCUCAGAGACUAUGAAACUGACCUGUAAAGUUUCAGUGGAUGUUACUAGUUAUCACUGGGGCUGGAUCAGACAGCUUCCAGGAAAGGGACUGGAAUAUAUUGGUCGUAUUAUCAACAGUGGAACCUCACAGCCUGGCUCCUCGUUUAACAAUCGAGCCACUUUCACCAGAGACACCGCAAAGAAUGAAGUUUAUGUCAAAAUCACUAAUAUGAGAAGUGAAGAAUCUGGUGUAUAUUACUGUGCAAGAGACACAGUGAG